rfam:Streptococcus sp. oral taxon 056 str. F0418 Noncontiguous_Finished_Chromosome, whole genome shotgun sequence.
UAAUCCUUUAAUUCUAUCCAGAGAGAUAGGCAAGGAGCAAGUGAAAAGAUAGGCGUAUUGUAUUUCUUUUUCGUUAAGUACAGUCUAUCUAUAUUUUCUGAAAUCUCCUUGUAUAAGGAGAUUUUUUUAGU